GCACGGUUAGCCAAGCGGCCAGGCUGUGGACUGCAAAUCCACCCAUAUCGGUUCGACUCCGAUACCGUGCUCCA
rnacentral:tRNA from 1 species